CAGCUUAUGAGAAGGACAGGAUACACCCUUAUCUCGGUGAAGAUAGCAGUCGGAAAGAUGGCUUCCCUCUGGUCACGUGUCAGUGACGAGAGAGAGAGGACGAGUAAGAGAGAAGGAACGGUGAAGGGGAGAGGAGAAAAUUAGGGAAGGAUGGGAGAGAAAACCAGAAAGUAUGACGAACAAGAGAGGGAGAGAGAUAGACAGAGGAGAAUUAGUGAAAGUUAAGAGUGCGCAUCAUAAUUAUUUGGAAAAGGUUGCGUAGCGUUCGAUCUCGAAACACGCAUUGAGUCGAACCAGGGGCAGCUGAUGAAGGGGAAUUUUCCUUGUAUUGUUUGUCCUGUACUCUGUUUUUUCGUUGUUAAAAAAGUCCGUUUCCUUGUUUGAUUUUAUGUUUUCGUUUCUCGUUGUGUUCUACGUUUAUUUAUGGUUUCUUGUACUCAUAUAUGCAUGUAUAUAUACAUAUAGAUGUAAGUAUGUACAUAUAUGUAUGUAUAUAUGCAUAUGUUUUAUUUAUUAUAUUGUUAUCAUAUAUAUGUGUGUGUGUGUGUGUGUGUGUGGUUGAAAUUUACAAAAAACAAAAGACGAAGACAAGUGUGUAAACAACAAACAGGUGUAUUAGUUUAACACACACACGCGCACAUAUAUGUGUGGGUGUAUUUUAAUAUAUGUAUGUGAAUAAAUGUGUAUGUGUGUAUGCGAACUAAACACAGACCUAUAACGACCAGUUGUAAACUUUAUUAUGCAAGUCAAUGAAAUUUCCUCUACUUGUUGCUCGACUUGUUAGAGACAGUAAACAAAUCCUCUUCAAACUUCACAGACUUCUUUGAUCAGAGACUGCUCGAUUAGAGUUCCCUGUGGUUAAACCAAAGCAAAAACAACUAUCCGCGCAAAGAAAAACGAUAGUGUUGUGAGCCGUUAAACACUAAAUUGUUUUUAUGUUCUUAGUUUAAUAGGAAAGAAAAAAAUUACAAGUCUGUAAUAAAACAAUAAAUAACUUACUAAAAUUUAUACUGAAUUUAGAUUUUGUUUCUGUCAGGAUUAAAAGGAAAAUAGGUACUGACUGAAAAAAAAAUGUUUUUGUGCCGAUAUAUAUAUUUACAAAGAUGACAUAAAAAUCAUUGAAAAGGUUAGAGUCUAGAGGAAACCGAACCCACAACUCAUUCAUUAAAGUCUCUCCGUAAUUACUGUUAUAAGAGACUAGGAACUUGUUUACAGUGAAUAGAGAUAAAUAAUGAUGUUGUUCUCUCUCUCUCUCUCUCUCUCUCUCUCUCUCUCUCUCUCUCUCUCUCUCCCUUAAACUAAGUAUGAGUUUCUUUAUUGUUGAAUCCUAAUCUUCCGAAUAAUAAACAACUUAUUGAGAAAUCAUUCAGGAGACAUAAAGCCCUUGUGUAAUACGAAUUCAGCAUCGUGAAAAAUAAUUGGUAAUCCUAUAUGUCAGCUGCAAUUCAAGUAGUAACUGAUAUAAAAUUAUAUAAGACUGUAUAUGAUCUUCAUAAAAAAGUGGUAUUUAGUCCACACCAUUCCUCAAUAACUUGUUAAAAUAUAAUGACUAGUCGUAUUAAAAUUUCUAGUUGGUUUCAUAAUUCCAACCGUGGCUCUAAGUCCUGGAUUGUUUCGCUGACCAAUAUGGAUCCUCUUCCGGGAAUAUUCUUUAUUGAAGUAUACGGAACUCCGAAUACGUUCAUUGUGAAAACAAUGCUUAUAAAGAGCAUUGUCACAGUAUGUUAAAAAUAAGUUUAUAUCAAUAUGAAGAUAAAAAAAAAGCCCUGCUAAAUUAGUCGGUGCAUUGGUCAUGGCUAAAUAGAUGACAUAUCGUAUAUAUAUAUAUAUAUUUCUUUAUUACCCACAAGGGGCUAAACAUAGAGGGGACAAACAAAGGUAUUAAGUCGAUUACAUCGACCCUAGUGCGUAACUAGUACUUAUUUUAAUCAACCCCGAAAGGAUGAAAGGUAAAGUCGACCUCGGUGGAAUUUGAACUCAGAACGUUGCGGCAGACGAAAUACUGCUAAGCAUUUCGCCCGGCGUGCUAACUUUUCUGCCAGCUCGCCGCUUUAGAUGACAUAUCGUAUAUAUAUAUAUAUACAUAUAUCCUAUUUCUUUACUACCCACAAGGGGCUAAACACAGAGGGAACAAACAAGGACAGACAAACGGAAUAAGUCGAUUACAUCGCCCCAGUGCGUAACUGGUACUUAAUUUAUCGACCCCCGAAAGGAUGAAGGGCAAAGUCGACCUCGGCGGAAUUUGAACUCAGAACGUAACGGCAGACGAAAUACACCUACGCAUUUCGCCCGGCGUGCUAGCGUUUCUGCCAGCUCGCCGCCUUAGAUGACAUAUCGUGUGUGUGUGUAUAUAUAUAUAAAUAUAUAUCCUAUAGUAGCAAAGAAUGUCAUAUACAUACAAGCAUACAUACAUACAUAUAUAAACGCGUAUGCAUGUACGUUUGAAUGAAUAUAUGUAUGCGUGUGUGUGUGUGUGUGUGUGUGUGUGUGUGUGUGUGUGUGUGUGUGUGUGUGUGUGUGUGUCUGUGUGUGUGUGUCUGUGUGUGUGUGUCUGUGUGUGUGUGUGUGUGUGUGUGUGUGAGUAUUUAUAUAAACAAAGAAAACAAGUUGCUUAUGUUACCUAUGAUAUUUCAUUACCCAUGAUAUUUCGAGAUCGUCUUCAUCAAAUGAAAAUAUCGAAAUAUUUCGAUAUUUUUCAUUUGAUGAAUAUAAUUUGUGAAAGAGCAACAGAAUACAUAUAUAACUUUCUAUCUAUGUUUAUUUCAACUACAUGUGGCUCUCGUUACUAUGAGUCUAUAUCUAUGCGAUCUUAUAUCAUGCAGUUUAGAAACAGCUCUACUUCAUGUGAUAGCAUAUUGGAUGUUUAGGAGGAAAAUAUCUAAGACUAAUUAAGGUGAAAUCGGUGGUGUUUUGUGUCAUUUUGCAGAGCUUAAUUCCUUUGAGGUUGGCAAUAUUUAUACCCAAUUAAACGUGGAUGUUCUAUUAGAAGAAACGUGGAACCGCAAUGGCCUAGUGGUUAGGGCAGCGGAAUCGCGGUUUCGAUUCCCAGACCGGUGAGUGUUUAUUGAGCGAAAUCACCUAAAGCUCCACGAGGCUCCGCAGGGGGGGUAACAAAGUCUGCUGUAUUCUUUCACCACAGCUUUCUCUCGUUCUUUCUUUUUGUUUCUGUUGUCACACUCAGUGUCACGUUGAAUCUCCCCGAGAACUACGUUAAGGGCACACGUGUCUGUGGAGUGCUCAGCCACUUGCACGUUAAUUUCACGAGCAGGCUGUUCCUUUGGUCGGAUCAACUGGAAUCCUCAUCGUCGUAACCGACGGAGAGCUACGAUUAGAACGAACUAUAUUGUGGCAGUUACCAUGACAGAAACACUCAAUGGCUUUUUUGGUGCAAAAUGCAUACUUGCUUUUAUUACUUUCAGGGAGAUAAAUCUCCGCUACCGCCGGCACUGAGACCACCGGACCACCUGAUUUCGACCUGGUUUGGUCUUGUCAAUGAUGGACACUCGAUCAGCAUGUUGACCCAUUUUUACACUUAAUUUCACAUAACUGAUAAUUUUCUUCUGAUGACCACAAAAGGGUUCUAUCUGCAUACAUCAUCUGAUAAAAGAUACUGUUCUUUAUACAGAAUAAUAGUGGAACACUUGCUAAAAGAUAACCUCACAUGCAUUUCCUUUAAUUUGUAUCAGAAGUUGGUUUCGUUCUUUUAUUGCAAUAUUUUUUGAACACUGUUGUGAAAAAUUACUUCGUUAAGAAUUAUGAUGUAUCCUGUUGAGUAUACAUAUAUAUGUGUACACACACACACACACACACACACACACACACACACACACAUAAAUAUACAUAAACACACACAUAUAAAUGUUUAAGCUAUUCAAAAUCUGCCCAAUAUUGCGUCAUUAUUUUUAGUGUAUUUCCCUCGCUAGUCAUGACAUAUCGAUGAAAUUCAUAUCUAAAUUCUAUACAUUACUCAUCGACGAAUACUUUUGUGCCGAGUGGCAAAAUUUUAAUUGAACUGCACUAAAUUAUAAGAUACUUACAUUAUUUCAAGUUUGUUGUUUAGUCAUCUUACAAGUGCUCUUUCACUUAAAAUAUAAAAGGUCGUAAUACAAAAUCCUAUUUCGCCCGAUUACAAAAUAAUUGAUUGAAUACUGCAGAAAAUGCAAGUCAUGUUUAGAAUCUGUCAUAAAUGUUUUUCUCCAGUAAUUCACGGUUAGAUAGUUUGUAAAUUGAGUUACGUAGAUUCAUAUACAAAAAUACUUACCAAUACACAAACACAUUUCUUUCUUAUGAAUCUUCCUACGGUUAUUUUACCUAAAGAUGUGUAUGUGUGUGUUUUGUGUGUAUAUGUAUAUGUGUAUAUUCAUAGAUAUAUACAUAUGUAUGUAUGUAUGUAUGUAUGUAUGUAUGUAUGUAUAUCAUUAUUUACGUGUGAAAUAAACAGAGAAAACCAUGAACAAUCCUUCGCUUGAUUACCUAUUCGCUCGAGCGUACACGUCAGAAGGUUCGAGACAAAGAUAUGGAAUCCUAUGUUUUUUUACUUUUUUCUUUUUAAUGUGUUGUGAAACGUAAACAAACUGGUUACACCGCAGAGUCAAAAAAAGUUGGAGGUUAUAUGGCUAAUUUCUCUGACAUAUAGUUUUUCCCUCUACCUCGUUGCCAUGAUCCAUGAGAUCCCUGAUCUGGCUCUUGGUGUAGGCAUCCAUUACAGAAGGAAUAUAAGACUUUUCAGCACCACCCGCUUCAGAGCCCGUCGACUUACCGCUUUGGCAAAAGGUGCUCAAUCAAUCGCUAAAGAUUAACUACCCGAUACGAGUUAAUGCUGGCGUCGCCGAGUUCUGUCCAGGGCUGUAUACACUAUCAGUAGCUAUAUAUUACAACAGCGGAUAGAAAAUAGCAAACGACCUCUACUGAAGAAUUAGUAGAUACUGAAAUCAAUCAUCGAUCUCCUACCUACCUACAUACAUACAUACAUACAUACAUACAUACAUACAUACAUACAUACAUACAUACAUACAUACAUACAUACAUACAUACAUACAUACAUACAUACAUACAUACAUACAUACAUACAUACAUACUUACAUACUUACAUACAUACAUACAUACAUACAUACAUUCAUACAUACAUACAUACAUACAUACAUACAUACAUACAUACAUACAUACAUACAUACAUACAUACAUAAACUUAGUGCUGAAAAGCGAAGAGAACAAUAUUCUACGCAUCAGUAGUAAACGCCUCAGGAAGCACUCCUAUACAAUCCUAAAACAGCCGGACUAACAGACCUCAAAGAAGACCUAGAUGUGAAACGCCCAGCAUACCAAAAAAAGGCUAUGCAUAGGUAUAUUUCCCAAAGACUUGAAGCCGAUAGUAAUAGUGGCAUGAAGCGAAGUCUCUCUUGGACUCUCGACCGCUACAUCACAUCACACUUCGAAGGCGAUGUAUUUGCAAUCCAAGAACAGGAAAUUGCUACUAAAUGCUUAAUAAACAAAAGAGGCAGCGAAACCCUUUAGUUUCAAGAUGCAACCGAAAAUGUAGAUUGUCAUAUUUCCGUGGAAGACAUUACACAUGUGAUUGACACCUGCCUAAAAAUGUCAUCAAAGUACUACGUCCCUUUGCGACACGAUGUUGUCACAAAAACAAUGUACAAGGGUAUUCAGAAAAAAAAUUGUCCUCAAAUAAAUAUAGGGAAUCCCCCUGUUAUUGAAUACAUACAUACACAAACAUCAAUAAACAGAAUACUGAUGGAAUAUUUCCUUCAAAACAUCUGUGAAGUGUAAACAUAACAGACCAGAUAUUGUUGUUUGAGAUAGACAAAAAAAUUAUGUACCGUCAUAAAGGUCAGCUGUCCUACUGAGGUGAAUAACUCUUUGGAAAUCAAAAAGAAAUAGAAUAACUGUGGACAACUGCUUCGAAACCUCCAGCUUCUACAUCCAGAUUGUUGAUUCACAUGUAUACCAAAUAAUUGAUGCACUUGGUUUUGUGAGUAAAUGCCUAAGAGACAAUCUGGAUAAGCUAGGGGAUUACUUAACUAUUUCGCACAUUUCAAAUACAAUCUGUAAAUGAAAAAGUAAAAAUAUGCAAGACAUUUCUCAAGUUUAAAAUGUGAUAUUGUUUUCAUUAUCUACAUUCCAAUUAUGGAGUUUUUUUUAUUUUUGUUAGAAACCAGCUCCUUCUUCAGAGGAAGAAUUUAAUUAAUUAAAAACAGAAGAGUAUACAUAUACUUCUACCUAUACGUAUAUGUUUGUGUGAGUUCCACAAGCUCGCAAAAUAACUUUACGUGGAUGGAGAAGAAGAGAGAGAGAUGCCUUCUCAUAACUAUGAUGAUGAUGACGAUGAUAACAAGAGCACUCUGAGAGCGCGAACCUUCGCCAAUGUUUCUUGGCACUACGGCCACAACACAGAGGGGACACUAUAAAGACAGACACAACACCACGGUGGGGACAAAAAUCAUAAAACGAAUGAAAAUGAGAUGUUAUAUAAAAAUGAAAAAUGAAAUGGCUGCAUAGACCCCACUCCCAUGCAGUAUCAUUUGAACGUUUAUAUAAACUACUUACAAUCGUUCUAUCAUCUUAUUGUUCUUUCUUAAUCUCGCUUUUUCCUCUCUUUUUUUAAAUGAAACAAUUUUACUUUUUUCCUUCUUUCUUCAAUAAAACAAUUCUACUUACUUUUUCCUUUUUAAUAUCACAUGAAAGGUUCUAAAUCUUUUAGCUCCAUUACUGGUGGCAAUUCAUCAAACUAUACCAUCACUCCUGGUGGGUCAAUCCCUUCUCCACACAUGUCUUUUAGUCUGUUGUAGGUGUCAUUGUCAACCACAAUGGCCUUCACAUUCUCGGAAUACACAUCUGUGGGCAACUUGACUCUUAUAAUAUGUUUAAACUUUAAUACUUUCUUUUCAGUGUCUUUGCUUUUUGCAUACGUCACAAAAUUCCAUCGAAAUUUUCCUUUUCUUAUUUUUUUCUCUUUUCCUGCUCCGUUCCUAGCACCUUCUUCUUUUCUUCCACCUCUCUGAACAGUCUCUCCAGUUGCGUUUCUAAAUUUUCUUCCUCCACUGGAACAAUCGGUGUUUUCACCAAUGUCUUUUCCUUAUGCAACUCCUCCUUGAACACUUCUUCAAGUUCCUUUUCGCUUACUUUAUCCACCACCAUUUCGUCUUCCGUCCUUCAGGUCAUCUCCUUUUCCAUCUCUUCUUUCUUCAUUUUCUGCUGCUCUGGCGGAGAGCUCACUCUCCCACUUCUCUUUCUUUUUUUAAACACCGUGAACCCCUCAUCCGUUGCUUUCUCCUUUAUCUCGACCUGUACCACCUGGUCCGUGCUCUCCUGCCUCUUCGUCUGCUUUAUCUGCUGUUCCCUCUGGGGGCACAUUGCCUUCAUGUGGCCCUUUUCCCCACAUGUAUAACAUAUAGGCGGCGUGCCCGCCACCACCACUCUCAAUCUUACGUCAUCGGACAGCACUAUCUCUUCGACAAUUCUGUUUAGGUCUUCCACUGUUGCUUGAAC
rnacentral:lncRNA from 1 species